GGUGGCCAUGAUGCUCCCUGAAGCAGUGAUUGUGAGAUUGUGAGAGCUGCCAAAUCAUGCACUGUUCGAGAUACAGCUAAUGAAGACAAGAUCUGUGCCACUCAGUGACUCUUCAUGCAAAAAUCAUAUAUGGGCGGCAAAGGUCCAGCUGCAGCCCUGGCCAUUCCCAUUGGCUGGCCAACAGGACUUAGUGGACUUUCUUCUUCUGAAUUCUGGGCCACAAUUGGUAUUCUUCCUCUACUCUGGCUGAUUGGUAAGCUGGUGGGCUUAGUUCUGGCAGAAGAUGAAGAAUGGCCAAAAGAGACAUCCAGAGCUUCAGCCUCUUGAGCUUUCAAUCUUAGUGAUGAGCUGGAAGAAUCCCUCUUAAUUGAUAAAUCAAGCCCAUAGACAGAGGAAGGCCUAGAGGAAGGCCUGGACCUGCUCCCACUGCUGUAUGGCUUAUCUGCUUCAUCCUGUAGAGCCGACCGGAUGGUAUUUCCUAACGUACCCAGUCCUGACCCAAGUGAUGAACCCAUGAAUUUUUGUUGAUCUGUAAUAUUUUUUCUGAGGCCAAAUGUGAUAUCAUCUUGAAGAAGCCUUGCCCUAGAAGAAAUACCACCAAUGGAUGAAGUGCUAGAACUCAA
ensembl:antisense Gm26954 predicted gene, 26954